UUGUAAUUUUUUCAUCUGCCUGUUUUGUAUGCUGUGUGUAGAGUUUGAGCUCAUUCUGAUCAAAUUCUUUGUGUAUUUUGAACUUUCCAAAAAGUUGAUAAAUUGGAAUACUUUCACUAGAUCAGAGCAAGUACAGAUCAAUGAGGUAUUCCUUGGGCCAGUUCCUAAAACUCCAAUUAUCAAAUGAGACAGCUGUAAUUGUCAUUACACUACAGAAAAUGGUGUGCCAGCUAUGAUCCAUCUCAAACUGGUUAUCUUGAUAUAUACCUCAAUGUGAUGAGGACUAUUUGAAAGGUGAACUCCGAUAAUGGUUACCACAAUUUGUUUUUC